rnacentral:rRNA from 1 species
AGCAGUAGCCACGGGAAUACGAAGGGGGCUAGCGUUGCUCGGAAUGACUGGGCGUAAAGGGCGCGUAGGCGGAUCACGCAGUCAGAUGUGAAAUUCCUGGGCUUAACCUGGGGGCUGCAUUUGAGACGCGUGGUCUAGAGUGUGAAAGAGGGUCGUGGAAUUCCCAGUGUAGAGGUGAAAUUCGUAGAUAUUGGGAAGAACACCGGUGGCGAAGGCGGCGACCUGGUUCAUGACUGACGCUGAGGCGCGAAAGCGUGGGGAGCAAACAGGAUUAGAUACCCCGGUAGUCCCUGUCUCUUAUAC